rnacentral:rRNA from 1 species
GAUGAACGCUGGCGGCGUGCUUAACACAUGCAAGUCGAACGGGAUCCAUCAAGCUUGCUUGGUGGUGAGAGUGGCGAACGGGUGAGUAAUGCGUGACCGACCUGCCCCAUACACCGGAAUAGCUCCUGGAAACGGGUGGUAAUGCCGGAUGCUCCAGUUGAUCGCAUGGUCUUCUGGGAAAGCUUUCGCGGUAUGGGAUGGGGUCGCGUCCUAUCAGCUUGACGGCGGGGUAACGGCCCACCGUGGCUUCGACGGGUAGCCGGCCUGAGAGGGCGACCGGCCACAUUGGGACUGAGAUACGGCCCAGACUCCUACGGGAGGCAGCAGUGGGGAAUAUUGCACAAUGGGCGCAAGCCUGAUGCAGCGACGCCGCGUGAGGGAUGGAGGCCUUCGGGUUGUAAACCUCUUUUAUCGGGGAGCAAGCGAGAGUGAGUUUACCCGUUGAAUAAGCACCGGCUAACUACGUGCCAGCAGCCGCGGUAAUACGUAGGGUGCAAGCGUUAUCCGGAAUUAUUGGGCGUAAAGGGCUCGUAGGCGGUUCGUCGCGUCCGGUGUGAAAGUCCAUCGCUUAACGGUGGAUCCGCGCCGGGUACGGGCGGGCUUGAGUGCGGUAGGGGAGACUGGAAUUCCCGGUGUAACGGUGGAAUGUGUAGAUAUCGGGAAGAACACCAAUGGCGAAGGCAGGUCUCUGGGCCGUUACUGACGCUGAGGAGCGAAAGCGUGGGGAGCGAACAGG